GGGAGCGCUGUGCCCUAGCAAGUGAACCAGUGCAGAUUAAUCAAACGACUCGUUAGCAUACAAGCUAAGGGUGGCUUCGUAUCCCAAGAGGACGUCGGGCUUUGAAGUUACUGCAUUCUUUUUGUAGUUUCGUUCAUCAUGAGCCGAUGUGCUCGAUACUGUUAUAUACACGGGAUGGGAAAGUGAUUACGAAGAACAAUGUGUUUUGGGAGAAGACAAUUGGCGAUAGGGUUUUUUUCUUUCCCUCUCUUUUUGUGGAGGAGCUCGUUAAAUACAAGAGUGAUCCAGCUAGCUGUGCAUAGAUGUCAGUUCAAAAGAUUCCUACUUCACGCUCGACAGAAACAACCGGAGAGGACAAACUGAACGGUGCGCUUCUGGUGCACAACAGCGACUGACACCGCACAGCGAAAGGUCUGCUUGGAGCUGCAAGGAUUUGUGGUAUCGCGAGAUAAAACGACAACUCAACGAACCAAUCAAAAUGGCACAUAUCUUUGCCAACUACUCAUAAACACAGGGAGAAUCAUCCAUCUAAACCCCUUUAAUCUCCCGAGGAUUGCGGGUGUGCUGAAGUAUACCCCAUUUGAUUUCGAUCAGGAGGCGGAUUUGAUUUCGGCAUGAUGUAAUGUUAACUGUUGAACAAACAUGCUCUUUUGGGGUUUAUUAAUUAAUUGGUAAAUCAACAAUAAUCAAAUUAAGCAACACCAUUUUGAUAAUCCAUUAAUCCCUUAGAGCCAUUGUUUGAUUACAAAUUGUCCAAAUUCCCCGAUU